AUUUUAAAUGGCCGCGGUAUAUUGACCGUGCAAAGGUAGCAUAAUCAUUAGUUUUUUAAUUGAUAACUUGUAUGAAUGGUUUAACGAGACAUUGACUGUCUCUUUUAUAUAUUAGAAUUUAAAUUUUGAGUUAAAAUGCUUAAAUUUUCUUAUUGGACGAGAAGACCCUAUAGAUCUUUAUUAUUAUUUAUUAUAUUUUGUUUGGUUUAUUUUUUUAUAUUUUUUUAUUAAUUUUGUUGGGGUGACUUGAAGAUAUAUAUAACUCUUUAUUUUAUUAUACAUUUAUUUAUGUAUAUUUGACUUUAUUUUAUUGUUAUAAGAAUUAGAUACCUUAGGGAUAACAGCGUAAUUUUUUUUAAGAGUUCAUAUUGACAAUGAAGAUUGCGACCUCGAUGUUGGAUUAAGAUUAGAUCUAGGUGCAGUAGCUUAUGAUUAUUGGUCUGUUCGACCUUUAAAUUCUUACAUGAUCUGAGU
rnacentral:rRNA from 1 species